rnacentral:rRNA from 1 species
GAGGGAAAGGUGAAAAGCACUUCGAACAGAAGAGUGAAAUAGUCCCUGAACCCAUACGCCUACAAGCAGUCGGAGCCGCUUCGUGCGGUGACGGCGUGCCUUUUGCAUAAUGAGCCUACGAGUUACUCAUCACCAGCGAGGUUAAGUACUUCAGGUACGUAAGCCGAAGCGAAAGCGAGUCUGAAUAGGGCGUCAAGUUGGUGGUGGUAGACGCGAAACCUUAGUGAUCUACCCAUGGGCAGGGUGAAGGUUUGGUAACACAAACUGGAGGCCCGAACCGGUAAACGUUGAAAAGUUUUCGGAUGACCUGUGGGUAGGGGUGAAAGGCCAAUCAAACUGGGAAAUAGCUCGUACUCUCCGAAAUGCAUUUAGGUGCAGCCUCUGUUGUUUUGUUCUAGAGGUAGAGCUACUGAUUGGAUGCGAGGGCUUCACCGCCUAUCAAAUCCGGCCAAACUCCGAAUGCUAGAACAUGAAGACAGGGAGUGAGCCAGCGGGUGCUAAGGUCCGUUGACGAAAGAGGGAGAACUCAGACCAUCAGCUAAGGUCCCCAAUUAUAUGCUAAGUUGGAAUUAAAACGGGGUGGGACUGCUUAGACAGCUAGGAUGUUGGCUUGGAAGCAGCCAUUCAUUUAAAGAGUGCGUAACAGCUCACUAGUCGAGCGGUCCUGCAUGGAUAAUACGCGGGCAUAAGCAUAUAACCGAAGCUAUGGGAUUGUAGAUGAUACAAUCGGUAGGAGAGCAUUCCAUUCAGCGUAGAAGCAGUAUCGUGAGGUAUUGUGGAGCGGAUGGAAAAGCAAAUGUAGGCAUAAGUAACGAUAAUGCGGGUGAGAACCCCGCACGCCGAAAGAUCAAGGAUUCCCCGGCAAUGUCAAUCAUCCGGGGGUAAGUCGGAUCCUAAGGGUAAGCCGAGUGGCGAUCCCGAUGGUAAACAGGUUAAUAUUCCUGUACUGAUCAUAACUGCGAUGCAGCGACGCAGAGGUGACACUGCUGCGUACUGACGGAAUAGUACGUUGAAACCCGUAUUCUUUGAUACCGGUAGUGAAGCACGCCGGUAGAGAUGAAAGGUGAUAGUACCGCAAUGCUUCGGUUGCGCGGAUAAUGCAGGUAAGCUGACUGCCAAGAAAACCUGCUAAGCUUCAGGUAAUGAUCAUCCGUACUGUAAACGGACACACGUGAUCAGGUAGAAAAUACUAAGGCGCUCGAGAGAUUCAUGGUUAAGGAACUAGGCAAAAUGGUCCUGUAACUUCGGGAUAAAGGACGCUCUUGUGAAAGAGCCGCAGAUAAUAGGCCCAGGCGACUGUUUACCAAAAACACAUGGCUAUGCUAAUUCGCAAGAAGAUGUAUAUGGCCUGACACCUGCCCGGUGCCGGAAGGUUAAGAGGAGAGCUCAGAGGCAACUCGAAGGUUUGAAUUGAAGCCCCGGUAAACGGCGGCCGUAACUAUAACGGUCCUAAGGUAGCGAAAUUCCUUGUCGGGUAAGUUCCGACCUGCACGAAUGGUGUAACGAUCUGGGUACUGUCUCAACCAUGAGCUCGGUGAAAUUGUAGUUCCGGUGAAGAUGCCGGAUACCCGCAACGGGACGGAAAGACCCCGUGAACCUUUACUGCAGCUUUGCAUUGAUUUUGGGUAACAGAUGUGUAGGAUAGGUCGGAGGCUUUGAUGCUGCGUCGUCAGGCGUAGAGUAGCCGUCGUUGAAAUACGACCCUUUUGUUAUCUGAGGUCUAAUCCCGUUAGGGAGACAUUGCAUGGUGGGUAGUUUGACUGGGGUGGUCGCCUCCAAAAGUGUAACGGAGGCUUCUCAAGGUACCCUCAAGGCGUUUGGUAAUCGUCUGCAGAGUGCAAUGGCAUAAGGGUGCUUGACUGUGAGACCGACACGUCGAUCAGGUUGGAAACAAGAGCAUAGUGAUCCGGUGGUUCCGCAUGGAAGGGCCAUCGCU